UACGAACGCUGGCGGCAGGCCUAACACAUGCAAGUCGAGCCGACCUUUCGGGGUCAGCGGCGGACGGGCGAGUACCGUGUGGGCAUAUGCCCUUCUCUACGGUUUAGUCCUGGGAAAUUGGGGGUUAUACCGCAUACGCCCCUUGGGGGAAUGAUCUAUCGAGGAAGUAUUAGCCCGCGUUGGAUUAGGUAGUUGGUGAGGUAAUGGCCUACCAAGCCGACGAUCCAUAGCUGGUUUGAGCGGAUGAUCAGCUACACUGUGACUGCGACACGGCCCAGUCUCCUACGGGAUGCAGCAGUGGGGAAUCUUAGACAAUGGGCACAACUCUGAUCUAGCCACGCCGCGUGAGUGAUGAAUGCCUUAGAGUUGUAAUGCCCUUUCAGCUGGCAAGUUAAUGACAGUAACUGCAAAAGAAGCCCCGGCUAGCUCCGUA
rnacentral:rRNA from 1 species